rnacentral:lncRNA from 10 species
GUAGGAACUUCGCGUUCCCACCCUCCAGGGGAGGAGAUUGGAUCAGGCGCCAGCCUUGAGGUGUCUGAUUGGAGAAAAGCUGUGCAGUGCCGCUCCCCCGACCGACUCCUUGAGAAGAAACGGCGGAGACCUGAGACCCGGAGGCUGAGGCUGUAGGUGGGCUCCGCUGGGUAAAAGUUGCCGCAGCAGCUGUCCCUUGGCCCCAUCGCGAUUUAUUUUUCCCCCUUGCUUUCCGGGUCCCGGGAUCCCAAGUUUGUAACUAACGGGAGCGAAUCCACACCCGAGCAAAAUGUUUGCGAGUUUCAGGCGCCCUUAGUUGAAAGGCUGUAAUUAACAAGUCCGCUGUUUGCCAGCCAGGCGCCGUUGCAGGCGCUUUCUGUGGAUUGUCAUUUAUUUCUCACAGCAACCCUAGGAGAUGAAAUUGAAUCAUGGAAGAAUGCCUUUAUCUGAGGAGUCAUCACCACUAGGGAGCUAUGGAGGCUGUUAUCCUUGACAUCUGCAGCAGCCCUUCCAAGCUGUGGAGACCAGGUCAUCUGGAAUGCCCAUUUAUGUCAAUGGAAGAAAGAAAAAGGGGUCUCCUCCCAUCCUCACCACUGCAUUCUCCCACCAACCCUGCUCCUGUCCCACUUCCCACAACUCAGUUGUUGACAAUUUAACAGUGGGUUUCUGGAAACAGUGCUGCCUCCUUGAUGGUCUAACUAACUACCAGAGUUAUUCUAACAGCAGGAAUUUCAAGCCAGCAAACCAGACAUACAUAGGAGGCACAGCAAAAGACCCAAGGUGAGGGGCUUCCCUCACCUUCACCCUUGUUCUCACGUGGAGGUGGCGCAUGUCUAUGAGACACAGUACCCCACUCAGCGAUCCUCUGCAGUCCAGGAAAUUCUAGCACUUGCUUGGAAAACAAAUCAAGUGAAGCCUGUUGGCUUUUUGUGAGCUGCCUAUGGAGAAAUGCACAUGGCAAGGAACUGAGGGUUGCCUCCAGCAAACUGCUGGUGAGGGAGUGAGGCCUUCAGUCCAACAGCCUUUAAGGAACUGAAUCCUGCCAACAACCAUGUGAGUGGGCUUGGAGAUGGAUGCUACCACCAUCAAGCCUUCAGGAGUGAAUUUUUUUGUUCUUGAGACAGCGUCUCAUUCUGUUGCCCAGGAUGGAGUACAGUGGUGCCAUCUUCGCUCACUGCAGCCUUCGUCUCCCGGGUUCAAGCAAUUCUCCUGUCUCAGCCUCCCAAGUAGCUGGGAUUACAGACCCAUCAAGCCUUCAGAUAAGACUGCAGCCUCAUUACAGACCUUGAACUGGAGGCAGCCAGCUGAGUCACACCUGGAUUCCUGACCCUUAGAAACUAUGAGAUAAUAAAUGUUUACAGUUUUAAGCCACUAAGUUUCG